rnacentral:rRNA from 1 species
UACGUAGGGUGCAAGCGUUGUCCGGAAUUAUUGGGCGUAAAGAGCUCGUAGGCGGUUUGUCGCGUCUGCUGUGAAAACCGGAGGCUCAACCUCCGGCCUGCAGUGGGUACGGGCAAACUAGAGUGCGGUAGGGGAGAUUGGAAUUCCUGGUGUAGCGGUGGAAUGCGCAGAUAUCAGGAGGAACACCGGUGGCGAAGGCGGGUCUCUGGGCCGAUACUGACGCUGAGGAGCGAAAGCGUGGGGGAGCGAACAGG